rnacentral:rRNA from 1 species
UUCCGGUUGAUCCUGCCGGACCUGACUGCUAUCGGAUUGAUACUAAGCCAUGCGAGUCAUUGUAGCAAUACAAGGCAGACGGCUCAGUAACGCGUAGUCAACCUAACCUAUGGACGGGAAUAACCUCGGGAAACUGAGAAUAAUGCCCGAUAGAACACUAUACCUGGAAUGGUUUGUGUUCCAAAUGAUUUAUCGCCGUAGGAUGGGACUGCGGCCUAUCAGUUUGUUGGUGAGGUAAUGGCCCACCAAGACUAUUACAGGUACGGGCUCUGAGAGGAGUAGCCCGGAGAUGGGUACUGAGACACGGACCCAGGCCCUAUGGGGCGCAGCAGGCGAGAAAACUUUGCAAUGUGCGAAAGCACGACAAGGUUAAUCCGAGUGAUUUGUGCUAAACGAAUCUUUUGUUAGUCCUAGAAACACUAACGAAUAAGGGGUGGGCAAGUUCUGGUGUCAGCCGCCGCGGUAAAACCAGCACCUCAAGUGGUCAGGAUGAUUAUUGGGCCUAAAGCAUCCGUAGCCGGCUCUGUAAGUUUUCGGUUAAAUCUGUACGCUCAACGUACAGGCUGCCGGGAAUACUGCAGAGCUAGGGAGUGGGAGAGGUAGACGGUACUCGGUAGGAAGGGGUAAAAUCCUUUGAUCUAUUGAUGACCACCUGUGGCGAAGGCGGUCUACCAGAACACGUCCGACGGUGAGGGAUGAAAGCUGGGGGAGCAAACCGGAUUAGAUACCCGGGUAGUCCCAGCUGUAAACUAUGCAAACUCAGUGAUGCAUUGGCUUGUGGCCAAUGCAGUGCUGCAGGGAAGCCGUUAAGUUUGCCGCCUGGGAAGUACGUACGCAAGUAUGAAACUUAAAGGAAUUGGC